rnacentral:lncRNA from 1 species
UCAGCAUUAGGGUUUUAAACCCUAAACUGAACUUUUUCCUUUCAGCCAGCAUUAGGGUUUUAAACGCUAAACUGAGCUUUUCCAUGCAAUCAGCAUUAGGGUUUUAAACCCUAAACUGAAUUUUCCUUCUAAGUCAGCAUUAGGGUUUUAAACCCUAAACUGGACCUUUUCCAUUUCAGUCAGCAUUAGGGGUUUUAAACCCUAAACUGAACUUUUUCCUUUCAGCCAGCAUUAGGAUUUUAAACCCUAAACUGAGCUUUUCCAUGCAAUCAGCAUUAGGGUUUUAAACCCUAAACUGAGUUUUUCCUUUUAGUCAGCAUUAGGGUUUUAAAACCCUAAACUGAACUUUUUCCUUUUAGUCAGCAUUAGGGUUUUAAACCCUAAACUGAACUUUUUCCUUUCAGCCAGCAUUAGGGUUUUAAACCCUAAACUGAGCUUUUCCAUGCAAUCAGCAUUAGGGUUUUAAACCCUAAACUGAGUUUUUCCUUUUAGUCAGCAUUAGGGUUUUAAACCCUAAACUGAACUUUUUCCUUUCAGCCAGCAUUAGGGUUUUAAACCCUAAACUGAGCUUUUCCAUGCAAUCAGCAUUAGGGUUUUAAACCCUAAACUGAAUUUUCCUUUUAAUCAGCAUUAGGGUUUUAAACCCUAAACUGAAUCUUUCCUUUUAAUCAGCAUUAGGGUUUUAAACCCUAAAUUGAGCUUUUCCAUGCAAUCAGCAUUAGGGUUUUAAACCCUAAACUGGACCUUUUCCUUUCAGUCAGCAUUAGGGUUUUAAACCCUAAACUGAACUUUUUCCUUUCAGCCAGCAUUAGAGUUUUAAACGCUAAACUGAGCUUUUCCAUGCAAUCAGCAUUAGGGUUUUAAACCCUAAACUGAGCUUUUCCAUGCAAUCAGCAUUAGGGUUUUAAACCCUAAACUGAAUUUUUCCUUUUAGUCAGCAUUAGGGUUUUAAAACCU